UACGGGGGGGGCAAGCGUUGUUCGGAAUUAUUGGGCGUAAAAGGCUCGUAGGCGGCCAACUAAGUCGGAUGUGAAAUCCCCAGGCUUAACCUGGGAACUGCAUCCGAUACUGGAUGGCUUGAAUCCGGGAGAGGGAUGCAGAAUUCCAGGUGUAGCGGUGAAAUGCGUAGAUAUCUGGAGGAAUACCGGUGGCGAAGGCGGCAUCCUGGACCGGCAUUGACGCUGAGGAGCGAAAGUGUGGGGAGCGAACAGG
rnacentral:rRNA from 1 species